rnacentral:rRNA from 1 species
AGUAACGCGUGGGAAUUUGCCCAAUAGUGGGGGAUAGCCCGGAGAAAUCCGGAUUAAUACCGCAUAAUCUCUAAGGAGUAAAGGUGGCCUCUUCUUGAAAGCUAUCGCUAUUGGAUAAGCCCGCGUCAGAUUAGCUAGUUGGUAGGGUAAAGGCCUACCAAGGCGACGAUCUGUAGCUGGUCUGAGAGGAUGAUCAGCCACACUGGGACUGAGACACGGCCCAGACUCC